rnacentral:rRNA from 1 species
GACGAACGCUGGCGGCGUGCUUAACACAUGCAAGUCGAACGCUGAAGCCCUUCGGGGUGGAUGAGUGGCGAACGGGUGAGUAACACGUGGGUAAUCUGCCCUGCACUCUGGGAUAAGCCUUGGAAACGGGGUCUAAUACCGGAUAGGACACAUCGCCGCAUGGUGUGUGUGUGGAAAGUUCCGGCGGUGCAGGUUGAGCCCGCGGCCUAUCAGCUUGUUGGUGGGGUGAUGGCCUACCAAGGCGACGACGGGUAGCCGGCCUGAGAGGGUGACCGGCCACACUGGGACUGAGACACGGCCCAGACGCCUACGGGAGGCAGCAGUGGGGAAUCUUGCGCAAUGGGCGAAAGCCUGACGCAGCAACGCCGCGUGGGGGAUGACGGCCUUCGGGUUGUAAACCUCUUUCGACCGGGACGAAGGAUUCGUUUGACGGUACCGGUAGAAGAAGCACCGGCUAACUACGUGCCAGCAGCAGCCGCAG